CAUGAAUGAGAAGCUUCCCUCCACCCUGUUCUUCUGCUACAGAAGCCAGCCUCACCAAGACCAUAUUAUCAGUGGAGGCAGCCAGCCAUGGUUAAAAACUCCACACCCGUGAGCUGGAAUGAACCCUUCCUCUCUUAAUGGCUCAGUGACAUUCAAGUACCCAAUGAAGAACCAAUGCUCCCAGACCACAGCUGACCAGUCACAAGAGUGAACGAUCUGGAAGUGGGACUCCAUCUCCAGCCUCACCUUCAUACAACUAUGGCCAAGAUAGCUGAAAUCUUGGCAAUAGCCUCCUGAGAGACUCCGAGCUUAGUCACCCAGCCAGGUGGCACUUGAUUUCCUAAUCCAUUAGAACUGUGUGAAACCAUCAUGCUAGUUUUAGUAAUGACUUUGUGAUGUAAUCACUUUCCUUCAUGGGUAAUAAAAGCCUUAAUGACA